AUUGAACGCUGGCGGCAGGCCUAACACAUGCAAGUCGAACGAGUGGCGGACGGGUGAGUAAUGUCUGGGAAACUGCCCGAUGGAGGGGGCUAACUACUGGAAACGGUAGCUAAUACCGCAUACCAUCGGAUGUGCCCAGAUGGGAUUAGCUAGUAGGUGGGGUAAAGGCUCACCUAGGCGACGAUCCCUAGCUGGUCUGCGAGGAUGACCAGCCACACUGGAAAUGAGACACGGUCCAGACUCCUACGUGAGGCAGCAGUGGGUAAUAUUGCACAAUGGGCGCAAGCCUGAUGCAGCCAUGCCGCGGGUAUGAAGAAGGCCUUCGGGUUGUAAAGUACUUUCAGCGAGGAGGCGUUACUCGCAGAAGAAGCACCGGCUAACUCCGUGCCAGCGGCCGCGGUAAUUC
rnacentral:rRNA from 1 species